rnacentral:lncRNA from 1 species
AUGCCACCUUGUCGUGGUGACAUCCCAAGGUUGCCUUGGUGCACGGAAGGCCUCAGGGUCAGAGCAGCUCUUGGGCUUGCUCAGUGCAGGAGCAUCCUCCUGCUUGAGGCGUUUGUCAGUGGGCAGCUGCACACUGACAGGAGCCUUGUUUGUUUUUGUGGUGGAGCAGAGUGUGCAAACUGGCACAGCAGUGCUACAGUGAUGGAGCAGCUCGCUGUUGCAGUUUGCACCAUUUAUGGCAUUGGCUAUGCCGGCUAUUACCUCACCAACCUGGCACGUCAUCUGAGCCGUGUGUUCAGAGGUGCCGAUCCUGAGGUGAGUCAGAAAGGAACAUUUGAUGCUCCUGGUGUUUCAGAACUGUGCAGGGAACUGUGAGCUUGGCCUGUGGCAGUAGAGUGCAGAGGGACAGCUGGGUGGGCUGAAAGAAGAUCCAUUUCCAUGUUUACAACAGCAAUAGCAAAGGCAUUGUUGGCUAUUUCCUAAUUUUCCAUUGCAGAGCUUUAAAAGAACUCAAAGCUCAGCUUUGCAGAGAGAACGUUGCUUGCUGAUAGUAGCCAGGGUAAACUCUCUAAUUCAGAACUAUUUGCAGCCUGGCUGAAUUAACCCAUUUUAAUUUAGUUGGAGAGACUUAGAAUCCCAUUGCUAUCAAAGCUGAUGAUUUGUGCUUGGUAGAGCUGGUUGUAGAAAUCGAGCUGAAGAGAAAUAAGGUUCUAAAUGAUAGGGAGCUGCCUGUCCCUAACUCCACCAUCUGUCCACAGAGCCCAGAAGCAAGAGCAGACUCUGCUGUGGCUCCCUCUGCUCCUGGAGAAGAGGCCAAAGAGGAGCAAAAUGAGCAAAAGGAGCACGAGCCUCCAGCUGUGGUCACAGCCCAGCCUGACCAUGCCCAGACAGUAAGUGCCAGUGCUGGGUGCUGCUGUCUUUAGUGCAAGGCAGAGCUGCAAGUUUCUGAGCAGCCAGCACUUGCUGUUGCUGGCUGAGGAUGCUGAGUGCUGGAGUCCUGCCAGCACCCAGCCAUUCCCCCAUCCCGUGGCAGCUGGAAAUUGGGCUUUGAGCCGUCGUGCUGAGGCCCCAAAGCGCUGCUGCCUGCGGGUGAGCAGCUGGCUGCUUGGCUCAGGGAAGCUCUGUCUCUUGGCUUCUGCCAAGCCAUGGCCAAGGGCUCACACGGCAUUUCUGGGGCUCACAGGGCUUGCUUUGUUUGCUUUCCCUUUUUGGAAACCUCAGGAUGACCUGGAGAAGUGUUCUGCAGUU